rnacentral:rRNA from 1 species
GACGAACGCUGGCGGCGUGCCUAAUACAUGCGAGUCGAACGAACCGCGACUAGGUGCUUGCACUUGGUCAAGGUGAGUGGCGAACGGGUGAGUAACACGUGGGUAACCUACCUCAUAGUGGGGGAUAACAGUCGGAAACGACUGCUAAUACCGCAUAGGACAUAGGAUCACAUGAUCCAGUGAGGAAAGGUGGCGCAAGCUAUCGCUACGAGAUGGACCCGCGGUGCAUUAGCUAGUUGGUAGGGUAAAGGCCUACCAAGGCGAUGAUGCAUAGCCGACCUGAGAGGGUGAUCGGCCACAUUGGGACUGAGACACGGCCCAAACUCCUACGGGAGGCAGCAGUAGGGAAUCUUCCGCAAUGGACGCAAGUCUGACGGAGCAACGCCGCGUGAGUGAAGAAGGUCUUCGGAUCGUAAAGCUCUGUUGUUAGAGAAGAACAGCGCAUAGAGUAACUGUUAUGCGUGUGACGGUAUCUAAACAGAAAGCCACGGCUAACUACGUG